rnacentral:rRNA from 1 species
UAAGGUUUGAUCCUGGCUUUGAGUUAACGCUAUACAAUAUACAUUACACAUGCUAGUUGAAUGAAAUAUUAAAAAUAUUAAUAUUUAAUAGCGUAAGGGUGAGUAAUGUACAUGUACUGAAUCCAUAGUCAAAAAUAAAAAAAAAGUUGUAAAUUAAUUUUUUUACAAAGGUUUUAAAUAUUUGAUAAAUUUAUUAAAUAGUAAUAAUAAUAAUAUUAUGUUUAAUAAUAUAAAAGAUAUUCUGCUAUGGCUAAAUGGCAUGUACAAGAUUAGGUUGUUGGUAAGGUAAGAGCUUACCAAGCCCAAGAUCUUUAACUGGUCUGAGAGGAUGUACAGUCACAUUGGGAGUGAAAAGAGACCCAGGUUCCUUUAUGGAGGCAGCAGUGUGGAAUAUUGGACAAUGAGCGAAAGCUUGAUCCAGUGAUAUUGUGUGAAUGAAGAAGAUGAUAAAUUGUAAAAUUCUUUUAUAGUAGAGUAUAAUGAAUUGAAACUAUGAAUAAGCCCUGACUAACAUUCGUGCCAGCAGUCGCGGUAAUACGAAGGGGGCAAGUGUUACUCAGCAUUAUUGGGCGUAAAGGGUACGUAGGUUGUUAAAUAAGUUAAAAUUAAAAAGCUGCAACUCAAUUGUAGAAUAAAUUUUAAAACUGUUUAACUUGAGUGCAAUAAAAGAUAGUGGUAUUUCUAGUGGAGAGGUAAAAUUUGAAGAUAUUAGAAGGACCUUCAAUAAGCGAAGGCGACUAUCUAUAUUGUAACUGACACUCAGGUACGAAAGCAUGGGGAGCGAAAAGGAUUAGAUACCCAAUUAGUCCAUGCCGUAAACGAUGGAUGUUAGUUUUUGCAAAUUAAUGCAAUUAUAAAAGUUUACACGUUAAACAUCCCGCCUGGAGAGUACGGUCGCAAGAGUGAAGAUCAAAGGAAUUGGCUGAGAUUUAGGCAAGCGGUGGAGCAUGUUGUUUAAUCCGAUAAUACGCGUAAAACCUUACCAAUCUUCGCAUAUUAAAGGUUGUUUAUAUAAUAAUAUAUAUAAAUAAAUUUUAAUAAUAAAAUUAUUAUAAAAUCCUUUAUGCAGGUGUUGCAUGGUUGUCGUCAGUUCGUGUUGUGAAAUGUUUGGUUAAUUCCCUAAACGAACGUAACACCUCACUUAUAGGUAGGUAAAUAUCUAAAAUUAAAAAGAUAUUAUACAGCUAUAAAGUUAGUUAAUGAUAAAUUAACUUAAAGAGGGAAAGAUGUCAAAUCGUUAUGACCCUUAUAGAUUGGGCUACAGACGUGCUACAAUGGUAUAUACAAUAAGAAGCAAAUAUGAGAGUAUAAGCAAGUAAUUUUUUAAAAUAUAUCUAAAUUCAGAUUAUUCUCUGCAAGUCGAGAAUAUGAAGUUGAAAUCGCUAGUAAUCGUGUAUAAGAAUGGCACGGUGAAGAGGCAUAAGAAUCUAGUACACACCGCCCGUCACGCCAGGGAAAAUAGUUUUGUUUGAAAAUAAUGGAAUAGAUAUAGUAAUUUAUGCAUACUAAAAUAAAUAAGUAAUUUUAGUAAAUUAAAAAUAUUAUAAAACCUAAUCUUUAUUGACGGCAAAAUUUUGGACCAAGGUGAAGUCGUAACACGGUAGUGGUAGGGGAACCUGUUGCUGGA